ensembl:lncRNA
CAUUUGGGGGGAUUUUGGGGUCUUUUGGGGGGUUUCAAAGGGAGAUUUUGGGGUAAAUUCCUCCGGUUUUGGGUCUGUCUGCCAUUUUAUGGCAUUCCAUGAAGGUUUGGGGUCGUUUGGGGUGAUUUGAAGGGAGAUUUUUGGGGUAAAUUCCUCCGAUUUUGGGUCUGUCGUCCGUUUUUUGGCAUUCCGUUAAAGUUUGGGGUUAUUUGGGGGGAUUUUGGGGUCUUUUGGGGGGUUUCAAAGGGAGAUUUUGGGGUAAAUUCUUCUGGUUUGGGGUCUGUCCGCCAUUUUAUGGCGUUCCAUUAAAGUUUGGGGUCAUUUGGGGGGGUUUCAAAGGGGGAUUUUGGGGUAAAUUCCUCCGCUUUUGGGUCUGUCCGCCAUUUUAUGGCAUUCCAUUAAAGUUUGGGGUCAUUUGGGGGGAUUUUGGGGUCUUUUGGGGGGUUUCAAAGGGAGAUUUUGGGGUAAAUUCCUCCGGUUUUGGGUCUGUCUGCCAUUUUAUGGCAUUCCAUGAAGGUUUGGGGUCGUUUGGGGUGAUUUGAAGGGAGAUUUUUGGGGUAAAUUCCUCCGAUUUUGGGUCUGUCGUCCGUUUUUUGGCAUUCCGUUAAAGUUUGGGGUUAUUUGGGGGGAUUUUGGGGUCUUUUGGGGGGUUUCAAAGGGAGAUUUUGGGGUAAAUUCUUCUGGUUUGGGGUCUGUCCGCCGUUUUAUGGCAUUCCGUGAAGGUUUGGGGUCAUUUGGGGGGAUUUUGGGGUCUUUUGGGGGGUUUCAAAGGGAGAUUUUGGGGUAAAUUCUUCUGGUUUUGGGUCUGUCCGCCAUUUUGUGGCAUUCCGUGAAGGUUUGGGGUCAUUUGGGGGGAUUUUGGGGUCUUUUGGGGGGUUUCGAAGGGAGAUUUUCGGGUAAAUUCCUCCGCUUUUGGGUCUGUUGUCCAUUUUUUGGCAUUCCGUGAAGGUUUGGGGUCAUUUGGGGGGAUUUUGGGGGGUUUCAAAAGGAGAUUUUGGGGUGAAUUCCUCCGGUUUUGGGUCUGUCGUCCGUUUUUUGGUAUUCCGUUAAAGUUUGGGGUCAUUUGGGGGGAUUUUGGGGUCUUUUGAGGGGUUUUGAAGGGAAAUCUUGGGGUAAAUUCUUCUGGGUUUGGGUCUGUCCGCCAUUUUAUGGCGUUCCAUGAAG